UAACGCGUUAAGCGAGCCGCCUGGGGAGUACGAACGCAAGUUUAAAACUCAAAGGAAUUGGCGGGGACCCGCACAACCAGUGGAGCAUGUGGUUCAAUUCGAGACGAACCGAAGAACCUUACCUGGACUUGACAUUCUAUCGUUUUAGUUUUGUAGAAAUAUGAGACGAUCCUAAUAGAAAUAUUAGGAAGAUAGAACAGGUGCUGCAUGGCUAUCGUCAGCUCGUGCCGUAGGGUGUUCCCUUCAGUGGGGUAACGAGCGCAACCCCUGUCGCAUGUUAAAUAUUCAUGCGAGACUAUCUCGAUUUUUCGAGGAGGAAGUGGGGACGACGUUAAGUCAGCAUGGCCCUUAUGUCCAGGGCGACACACAUGCUACAAUGGCCGCUACAAUGGGUUGCCAAACCGUAAGGUGGAGCUAAUCCCAUCAAAAGCGGUCUCAGUGGGGAUUGAGGGCUGCAACUCGCCCUCAUGAACGCGGAAUUGGUAGUAAUCGCGAAUCAGCUAUGUCGCGGUGAAUACGUUCUCGGGUCUUGCACAAAUUAAAUUGCGCCUUCCGGCCAUAAUUUUUACCAGGUGGAAAUCCUGGGAAGAACAGAUAAAUU
rnacentral:ncRNA from 1 species